CUAGCCCAGUCCUGACUCCGUAUAAAUAUUCCCCGAGUCCUCCUCUGCCGAUUUUUCCCAAAAUCUCUAUCACCCGUGCCCUAGGGCGUCGCCCCGAUCUCACCGGAGUUCCGCAGUAGAAGCUCCUUCGCCGGUCGUUUCCGUCGACGCAGAAGGGGAGCACUAGAACGAGCGCUAGGACCUCCGCCCGAAGCAGAGCACCGCCGGCGACACUCCAGCCCCUCGGCAUCACCACUAGAGGAAGCCCCGUCGCUGUACAACGUCACCUAACCAACCGCCGUACACCUACGCAUCCAUCCAUCCACUCACCGCCUCCGGAGACGCGCCGGAGACGCGCCACCAUCGCCGCCUGAGCCGCCGGCGUCGUUCUUCUCCAACUCUGAUUGUCCGGAGAGUGAAGCGGAUCAGAAUUGAGCGUUAGAAUACUCCAACACCUGUCAAGGCAAGUUACACUUUUGAUUAUGCAUCCUAUAUGUCUACUAUACACUGUUAUGAUAUGUUGUAUGCUUGUGUGAUUCUUAUGUUGCUUGUUGCCAUGUGUGUGUCCUGUUUGCGUUGUUUAAUUGUAUGCUUGGACUUGCUAUGGUAGACGUGGGUACGUGUCGAGUGAUGCAUGGAAGUGGUGAGUCUUUAUAGUUGUAGGCUCGGGACUUUUUCUCAGGUGAAUGCGUUAAUGGCUGAGCGCUCUAUUGUCCCUAGAGAAUGCGCCAUGGCUGAGCGCACUUGGGUUGUCGGGGCUUUUCUCACGUGAAUGCGUCACUGGCCGAGCGCUCUAUUUUCCCUAGAGAAUGCGCCAGGACUGAGCGCACUUGAGACAUCUUGAAUAUCUUUAUCAUCUGUGUUGUUUGCACCUUGCCUAUGUCGUGGAGGUAGGUGAAGGUAGUUUUAUGUGAAACCAACUUGAGUGUUUUGUUUGUCAU